rnacentral:rRNA from 1 species
GACGAACCGUGCGAACGUUGUUCGGAAUCACUGGGCUUAAAGGGCGCGUAGGCGGGCUCAAAGGUCAGGGGUGAAAUCCCACGGCUCAACCGUGGAAGUGCCUUUGAUACUGUGAGUCUCGAGGGAGGUAGGGGCGUGCGGAACUUCCGGUGGAGCGGUGAAAUGCGUAGAUAUCGGAAGGAACACCGGUGGCGAAAGCGGCGCGCUGGACCUCUUCUGACGCUGAGGCGCGAAAGCCAGGGGAGCAAACGGG